rnacentral:misc_RNA from 1 species
GGCCUCUUAAAACUUCUUGCUCCUGCAACACUGAUGAGUUUUAGAGUGUUGCAGAUGCCUGACAGUGACAUAGGCGUGUAUAGAUCCCUAAACCGAUCAAGCAGAGGCAAAGAUGAAUAUAUCACGAAUAUGGUAAACUCAGAGACAUAUCAUAUCCCAAGUCCCAACAAUAGACAAGCUCACUAUGUUUGUACAAGGUCUAACGUCAGGUAUUUCACAGUUUUUCCAAAAGCAAGCAUCUUGCUUGCAAUUAUAAAUACUAAAGUGUCACAGAAAGUUUCACUUGCCUUCUUACGGAAAUCUUCCUGCU